UACGUAGGUGGCAAGCGUUGUCCGGAUUUACUGGGUGUAAAGGGCGUGUAGCCGGGUCGGCAAGUCAGAUGUGAAAUCCAUGGGCUUAACCCAUGAACUGCAUUUGAAACUGUUGAUCUUGAGUGUCGGAGGGGCAGAUGGAAUUCCUAGUGUAGCGGUGAAAUGCGUAGAUAUUAGGAGGAACACCAGUGGCGAAGGCGAUCUGCUGGACGAUAACUGACGGUGAGGCGCGAAAGCGUGGGGAGCAAACAGG
rnacentral:rRNA from 1 species